AAACACAGUCGCACCCACACGGAGAAUGCGUCGCUUGCUCAGAACCCAAGCCUGGCAUCUCAUCAGCACUGGGGGGCUGCCUUCUGGGUCACGAGGAAUGAGGACCCAUGGAGAGGCGUGUCUAUGGGUCAGCCAGCUCAGCCAUUCUGUCAGUACCAGACCCCACAAGAUCACAUGCACCAGAGACACGGCCCACCUCUUAGCACUGAACAAUACCAGCAGGGUUCUCCGGGCGCCAGGAGGACGGGUCCCGUGGGCAGCGAAGCGUUUCGGGUCCCUCAGGGGUCUUUGGCUCCCCGCCCCGCAGAGAAAAGCACCCAUUUCCUCCCCCUUCACACGGGACAAUACGCACCUCUCCUCUUCUCCCAAUACUGAGCCCAGCGUGGAAUACACGCGGUCUCAAAACGGGAGCUUUAUUCACCUGUGCACAGUCAUUUACACUGUGCAUAGCCAUUUACACUGUGUACCACCAUUUACACUGUGCAUAGCCAUUUACACUGUGCAUAGCCAUUUACACUGUGUACCACCAUUUACACUGUGCAGAACCAUUUACACUGUGCAUUGCAACAGUUCUUAUGCACUGUAAAAACAAAACUUUGCUUUUGUGACUUUAAAUAUGAAAUGGGAUGCAAUUAGUUUUAAGAACAAGUUAUUUUUGAGAGCUUAUUUAUAAUAGUAGACUGCAUCACUGUUUCCAUUUUAAUUUUGGUUAUUGAAAAACACCCAAAGGUGAAAGAGCAAGCACUUCCUGUUAAUCUUAUUUAUAUUUGUCAUAUGCCUUUCUGAAAGUUCCACAGUGCUUAUUAAACAAUAAAACUAUGUUGUAUGUAAACAGUAAAUGUAUGUAUG